rnacentral:rRNA from 1 species
CUACGGGAGGCAGCAAUUAGGAAUCUUGCACAAUGGACGAAAGUCUGAUGCAGCGACGCCGCGUGAAGGAUGAAGGCCUUCGGGUUGUAAACUUCUUUUAAGGGGGAAGAAACAAAUGACGGUACCCCUUGAAUAAGCCCCGGCUAACUACGUGCCAGCAGCCGCGGUAAUACGUAGGGGGCGAGCGUUGUCCGAAUUUACUGGGCGUAAAGCGCGCGUAGGCGGACUUUUAAGUCGGUGGUGAAAUCUCAGGGCUCAACCCUGAAACUGCCGCCGAAACUGGGAGUCUUGAGGUAUGGAGAGGGAAGUGGAAUUCCUGGUGUAGCGGUGAAAUGCGUAGAUAUCAGGAGGAACACCCGUGGCGAAGGCGGCUUCCUGGCCAUAUCCUGACGCUGAGGUGCGAAAGCUAGGGGAGCGAACGGGAUUAGAUACCCCUGUAGUCC